rnacentral:rRNA from 1 species
UACGGAGGAUGCAAGCGUUAUCCGGAAUGAUUGGGCGUAAAGCGUCCGCAGGUGGCAAUGUAAGUCUGCUGUUAAAGAGUCUAGCUCAACUAGAUAAAAGCAGUGGAAACUACAUAGCUAGAGUACGUUCGGGGCAGAGGGAAUUCCUGGUGUAGCGGUGAAAUGCGUAGAGAUCGGCAGGAACACCCAGGGGGAAGCCAGCCGACUGGGCAUCUACUGACGCUGAGGUGCGAGAGCGUGGGGAGCGAACCGG